AUUGGGCAAUGGGCGAAAGCCUGACGCAGCGACGCCGCGUGGGGGAAGAAGGCCUUCGGGUUGUAAACCCCUUUUCUCAGGGAAGAAUAAUGACGGUACCUGAGGAAUAAGUCUCGGCUAACUACGUGCCAGCAGCCGCGGUAAUA
rnacentral:rRNA from 1 species